rnacentral:rRNA from 1 species
AUUGAACGCUGGCGGCAUGCCUUACACAUGCAAGUCGAACGGCAGCACGGGAGCAAUCCUGGUGGCGGGUGGCGAACGGGUGAGUAAAGUAUCGGAACGUGCCCAGUCGUGGGGGAUAACGUAGCGAAAGUUACGCUAAUACCGCAUACGAUCUAUGGAUGAAAGCGGGGGAUCGCAAGACCUCGCGCGAUUGGAGCGGCCGAUAUCCGAUUAGGUAGUUGGUGGAGUAAAUGCUCACCAAGCCGACGAUCUGUAGCUGGUCUGAGAGGACGACCGGCCACACUGGGACUGAGACACGGCCCAGACUCCUACGGGAGGCAGCAGUGGGGAAUUUUGGACAAUGGGCGAAAGCCUGAUCCAGCCAUGCCGCGUGCAGGAUGAAGGCCUUCGGGUUGUAAACUGCUUUUGUACGGAACGAAAAGGUUUGGCCUAAUAAGCUGAGCUCAUGACGGUACCGUAAGAAUAAGCACCGGCUAACUACGUGCCAGCCGCCGCAGUAA